rnacentral:snRNA from 1 species
AUACUUACCUGGGUGGGGUCUAUGGCUGAUCAAGAAGAGUCAUGGCCUAUGCUAGUGGCCCACAUUGCACUUUGUGGGUGCGUUGGCUUACCAUCUUCCCUUUGAGGAAGAGUGGACGUCAUAAUUUGUGACAGAGGGGGUACGCGUUCGCGCGGCCCCUG